AUGAACGCUGGCGACGUGUCUAAGGCAUGCAAGUCAAACGGUAUAUCGAAAGGUAUACAGUGGCAGACGGGUGCGUAACACAUUGGUAAUCUACCCCUAACACAGGGAUAACUCACCGAAAGGUGUGCUAAUACCUGAUAAUUUCAUUUUUUGAUUAAAAAUGAAAAAAGGUUUUUCGGUUAGGGAGGAGCCUAUGGCCUAUCAGCUAGUUGGUGAGAUAAUAGCCCACCAAGGCAAUGACGGGUAGCGGGUGUGAGAGCACGACCCGCCUCAAUGGGACUGAGACACUGCCCAUACUCCUACGGGAGGCUGCAGUCAAGAAUAUUCCCCAAUGGACGAAAGUCUGAGGGAGCGACGUCGCGUGAAGGAAGAAGCUUUUCGGAGUGUAAACUUCUUUUUCUAGAGAUGAACUAAUGACAUUAUCUAGAGAAUAAGGGGCUGCUAACCUCGU
rnacentral:rRNA from 1 species